CGUUCUCAGUUCGGACUGUAGGCUGCAACUCGCCUACACGAAGCUGGAAUCGCUAGUAAUCGCGGAUCAGCACGCCGCGGUGAAUACGUUCCCGGGCCUUGUACACACCGCCCGUCACACCAUGAGAGUCUGUAACACCCAAAGCCGGUGGGAUAACCUUUAUAGGAGUCAGCCGUCUAAGGUAGGACAGAUGAUUAGGGUGAAGUCGUAACAAGGUAGC
rnacentral:rRNA from 1 species